rnacentral:rRNA from 1 species
UACAGAGGGUGCGAGCGUUAAUCGGAAUUACUGGGCGUAAAGCGCACGUAGGCGGCGCACUAAGUUGGAUGUGAAAUCCCCGGGCUUAACUUGGGAAUUGCAUUCAAGACUGGUGUGCUGGAGUGUGGGGGAGAGAAGUGGAAUUCCAGGAGUAGCGGUGAAAUGCGUAGAUACCUGGAGGAACAUCAGUGGCGAAGGCGGCUUCUUGGCCCAACACUGACGCUGAGGUGCGAAAGCGUGGGGAUCAAACAGG